AACGAACGCUGGCGGCAUGCCUAACACAUGCAAGUCGAACGAGACCUUCGGGUCUAGUGGCGCACGGGUGCGUAACGCGUGGGAACCUGCCCUUAGGUUCGGAAUAACUCCCCGAAAGGGGUGCUAAUACCGGAUAAUGUCUUCGGACCAAAGAUUUAUCGCCUUUGGAUGGGCCCGCGUUGGAUUCGCUAGUUGGUAGGGUAAAAGCCUACCAAGGCGACGAUCCAUAGCUGGUCGGAUAGGAUGAUCAGCCACACUGGGACUGAGACACGGCCCAGACUCCGACGGGAGGGAGCAGUGGGGAAUAGUGGACGAGGGGCGAAAGCCUGAUACAGCAAUGCCGCGUGAGUGAUGAAGGGCUUAGGGUUGUAAAGCUCUUUUAGCCGGGAUGAUAAUGACAGUACCGGGAGAAUAAGCUCCGGCUAACUCCGUG
rnacentral:rRNA from 1 species